rnacentral:pre_miRNA from 1 species
CAUGCAUCAGCGGGGUCCCUCGGCCUGGCCUGUGCCCUCUCGCAAUCCGGGAACCCUCGCAAGAUGUCGGAAAGCUGGUUUGGCCCGAUCCCGCAGGCCAGGCUGAGGGACCCCACUGGUGCACG